rnacentral:rRNA from 1 species
AUUGAACGCUGGCGGCAUGCUUUACACAUGCAAGUCGAACGGUAACAGGCCGCAAGGUGCUGACGAGUGGCGAACGGGCGAGUAAUGCAUCGGAACGUGCCCAGUCGUGGGGGAUAACGCAGCGAAAGCUGCGCUAAUACCGCAUACGAUCUCUGGAUGAAAGCGGGGGACCGAGAGGCCUCGCGCGAUUGGAGCGGCCGAUGUCAGAUUAGGUAGUUGGUGGGGUAAAGGCCCACCAAGCCAACGAUCUGUAGCUGGUCUGAGAGGACGACCAGCCACACUGGGACUGAGACACGGCCCAGACUCCUACGGGAGGCAGCAGUGGGGAAUUUUGGACAAUGGGCGCAAGCCUGAUCCAGCAAUGCCGCGUGCAGGAAGAAGGCCUUCGGGUUGUAAACUGCUUUUGUACGGAACGAAACGGUCCGGGUUAAUACCCUGGGCUAAUGACGGUACCGUAAGAAUAAGCACCGGCUAACUACGUGCCAGCCGCCGCCGUAAGAC